CACCAGCUUAUUCCAAAGGGCUUUACAAUAAAAGUGGAAUUUACCAAAGGAGACCAUAACAAAAUGUAACAGGAACAAUAGGUAGUUAAGGGACCCUGCUCAAAGGAGCUUACCGUCUAGAGGAGGUGGGGUACAAAAACACAAUAGGAAGGGUAUUGAGAGAGACAGCAAAUAGACAUGGUGGGAAAGUAGCAGAACUGGAGGUGAAGGUUGAG
rnacentral:lncRNA from 1 species